UUGGUGCCAGAAUUAAGAGGGACCACGUAUGCCAAUUCACGUUGUUGGAUGAUUCCAGAGUCAAAGAGCUGUUUUGGUCAGGGCAAGGAGGACAUGGGAUUUACGUAAUUGGAGAUGGAAUCCAGAAAAAUCAAAGUUGCGGGCUUUGAUCCAAAGUCAUUUCUUCAACUUCUUCGUGGAAAGAAAUUUUCUUUUAUUGGUGAUCUAUGGGUGAUUCUAUGGCCAGA
rnacentral:misc_RNA from 1 species